rnacentral:rRNA from 1 species
CGACCCCAGGUCAGGCGGGGUUACCCGCUGAAUUCAAGCA